UUAGCAGGUUGAUUGGAAGAGUGUAGAAGAAAAACGGAAAAUUUGUUUAGAUAUUUUACAUUUCCUGAAGAUGUCUUCUUAUUUGAACCCUAGAGGUUUAUGGUCUUUCUCUCAGGAUUCCCAGAGGUACCGGGAUUCUUAAGGAGGAAUUGGGUAGGAAACAGGUAUCUACAUGUUCUAGAAGACUUGUUUAUUGGAUAAUCGUCAUUGACUAUAAUUAGGCCUGUCUACAAAGAAGAGGAUUCCACACAAGGAAAAGUGCUCUAAGAUAUCAAAAUGACUCAACAGCUUAACCUGACCUGGGUAUACUGAUAUGUGUGUGGAGAGAAUGACCCAUACAGGUUUUAGAGGAUAUACUUUCCUUUUGCUGAGAAAAAAUACAGAGCAAAUUUCCCUCCAAGCUUUUUCUAUCUCCUCUAAAGCUACACCAAAACCAGAAGCCUGACCUUUGGAUUCUUCCAUGACCCCAGCAUUCUCAGCAGGUCAACUGAAAACAACAAGAAGAAACAAAGACACCUACAGAAUAAAUUCUGCCUAUUCUGAAUGGGCCAUCUAGUUAGAACUAAAAAAGAACAUUCAAAUAAAUCUGCAUAUAACCAUCAAACUAAGCAGAAGUAGAUAAUGAUCUGAAGAAAAUUUUUCUAUGAAAACAGCACUAAUUCAACUCCCAACUUUCAUUCAGUUCUUUAAGUCCCCUCUCAGUAUUCCAGUGCAUCAAGAAUUUGUUGAUUUAAUUUUCUUGAAGAACUUGAAAACUCUUGAAGAACUCCCAGAGGCUUCUGACUUUCCCUAGACCAAACUACGCCUGCUCUAAGUCUGGUGAAAAGUGAAUGGGCUUUCAGAAAUCAACUUUAUGAAGAAUUCCAAAAGAUAACCACAAAAAGAAUACAAGAUGCCUGGAGUGUCAAAACUGACAGUGUCUCCACUGUGGUUGUGCAGUAAAUAAUCCUCACAUGAUACCUCUCAAGUGGAUGCAAAGAGAAAGACAGUGGUUGAAGAAAUUAAAAAGUAUAUAAAGACUACCAGUUCCCAGCCUUCUUCCACUUGGACAGAGCCAUGCCACUGAGGUCUAGUUUGAGUAGAAAUUGCAUACCUCUCGUAAAACACACUAAGUAAGCCUCCAUAUACUCUCUUCAUGUAUGUGUCAACCAGCUGAAUGCAGAGGAUACCUGAGAGGCACACCGGGAUGAGAGAACCACAGAAGUGAACUAUUAUGCUAUUUGACUCCCUUGAGUAUGAUUUUUCUGUGGAGCCUCCAAACUCACAUGAUACUGUUAUAAACAAAAUUCUAUUAAUUUGAACCACUGAGAUUUGGGGGGUGUUUGUUACAGAAGUUGACUAACAUAAUAUACAAUGCUUUUUUUGUUAUUUAUUUAACAAGAAAUAUAUAUGCAUAUGUGCCAAGGAAUUCUCUGAAGCACUUCAUAAAUAGUAAAUCAUUUAGUCCUUACAACAACCCCAUAAAAUAAGUAAUAUUAUUAUUCGCGUUAUACAAAAGAGGAAACAAAACAUAAGUUUAUACAGCUAACAAAUAACAGAGUCAAUAUUUACCCCACACACACACACUCUACUGUUAAC